rnacentral:rRNA from 1 species
GACGAACGCUGGCGGCGUGCUUAACACAUGCAAGUCGAACGGAAAGGCCCUGCUUUUGUGGGGUGCUCGAGUGGCGAACGGGUGAGUAACACGUGAGUAACCUGCCCUUGACUUUGGGAUAACUUCAGGAAACUGGGGCUAAUACCGGAUAGGAGCUCCUGCUGCAUGGUGGGGGGUUGGAAAGUUUCGGCGGUUGGGGAUGGACUCGCGGCUUAUCAGCUUGUUGGUGGGGUAGUGGCUUACCAAGGCUUUGACGGGUAGCCGGCCUGAGAGGGUGACCGGCCACAUUGGGACUGAGAUACGGCCCAGACUCCUACGGGAGGCAGCAGUGGGGAAUAUUGCACAAUGGGCGGAAGCCUGAUGCAGCAACGCCGCGUGCGGGAUGACGGCCUUCGGGUUGUAAACCGCUUUCGCCUGUGACGAAGCGUGAGUGACGGUAAUGGGUAAAGAAGCACCGGCUAACUACGU